rnacentral:rRNA from 1 species
GACGAACGCUGGCGGCGUGCCUAAUACAUGCAAGUAGAACGCACAGUUUAUACCGUAGCUUGCUACACCAUAGACUGUGAGUUGCGAACGGGUGAGUAACGCGUAGGUAACCUGCCUGGUAGCGGGGGAUAACUAUUGGAAACGAUAGCUAAUACCGCAUAAUAUUAAUUAUUGCAUGAUAAUUGAUUGAAAGGUGCAAUUGCACCACUACCAGAUGGACCUGCGUUGUAUUAGCUAGUAGGUGAGGUAACGGCUCACCUAGGCGACGAUACAUAGCCGACCUGAGAGGGUGAUCGGCCACACUGGGACUGAGACACGGCCCAGACUCCUACGGGAGGCAGCAGUAGGGAAUCUUCGGCAAUGGACGAAAGUCUGACCGAGCAACGCCGCGUGAGUGAAGAAGGUUUUCGGAUCGUAAAGCUCUGUUGUAAGAGAAGAGCGGGUGUGAGAGGGAAAGUUCA